GAUGAACGCUGGCGGCGUGCCUAAUACAUGCAAGUCGAGCGAACAGACGAGGAGCUUGCUCCUCUGACGUUAGCGGCGGACGGGUGAGUAACACGUGGAUAACCUACCUAUAAGACUGGGAUAACUUCGGCAAACCGGAGCUAAUACCGGAUCAUAUAUUGAACCGCAUGGUUCAAUAGUGAAAGACGGUUUUGCUGUCACUUAUAGAUGGAUCCGCGCCGGAUUAGCUAGUUGGUAAGGUAACGGCUUACCAAGGCAACGAUGCGUAGCCGACCUGAGAGGGUGAUCGGCCACACUGGAACUGAGACACGGUCCAGACUCCUACGGGAGGCAGCAGUAGGGAAUCUUCCGCAAUGGGCGAAAGCCUGACGGAGCAACGCCGCGUGAGUGAUGAAGGUCUUCGGAUCGUAAAACUCUGUUAUUAGGGAAGAACAAAUGUGUAAGUAACUAUGCACGUCUUGACGGUACCUAAACAGAAAGCCACGGCUAACUACGUG
rnacentral:rRNA from 1 species